rnacentral:rRNA from 1 species
AGCGAACGCUGGCGGCGUGCUUAACACAUGCAAGUCGAGCGAAGGUGUUUCAAGGGUAACCUUGAGAUACACUCAGCGGCGGACGGGUGAGUAAUACGUGGAUAACUUACCUCUAGGCCUGGGAUAACCCCGGGAAACUGGGGCUAAUACCUGAUAAGACCACAUUGUCUACGGACAAAGGGGUAAAAGGUGGCUGUGCAAACAGCUAUCGCCAAAAGAUAGGUUCACGUCCCAUCAGGCAGUUGGUGAGGUAAUGGCUCACCAAACCAAAGACGGGUAGCCGGCCUUGGCGGGUGAACGGCCACACGGGGACUGAGACACGGCCCCGACUCC